CUGCCUCCAGGGCAAGAUUCAUGACAAUAAAGUCUUCCCCGUGGCUCAGUUUGUAGAGCAUGGUGUGUGCAACGCCAGGGUUGUGGGUUCGAUUCCCACGGGGGCCAGUACAAUUAUUAUUUUUUUUAAAUGUAUGAAAUUUAUACAUUCACGACUGUAAGUCGCUCUGGAUAAGAGCGUCUGCUAAAUGACUAAAAUGUAAAUGUAAAAUGUAAUUCAUGACAAUAAAUGCCAACCUGCCUCCCAGUCGUCCCCUCCUUAUCUUUACAAGGCUGCAGAACAUGCAAGCUAGUGAUGUGGGGGUUCUCUCAUAACCCUCAGUCCCCAGGUGGGUAGAUGGCAGGUUGAAUAAAGAGAAGCUAGUGAUGUGGGGGUUCUUUCAUAACCCUCAGUCCCCAGGUGGGUAGAUGGCAGGUUGAAUAAAGAGAAGCUAGUGAUGUGGGGGUUCUCUCAUAACCCUCAGUCCCCAGGUGGGUAGAUGGCACGUUGAAUAAAGAGAAGCUUGUGAUGUGGGGGUUCUCUCAUAACCCUCAGUCCCCAGGUGGGUAGAUGGCAGGUUGAAUAAAUAGAAGCUUG
rnacentral:lncRNA from 1 species